UACGUAGGGUGCAAGCGUUAAUCGGAAUUACUGGGCGUAAAGCGUGCGCAGGCGGCUUUGCAAGACAGAUGUGAAAUCCCCGGGCUUAACCUGGGAACUGCAUUUGUGACUGCAUAGCUGGAGUACGGUAGAGGGGGAUGGAAUUCCGCGUGUAGCAGUGAAAUGCGUAGAUAUGCGGAGGAACACCGAUGGCGAAGGCAGUCCCCUGGACCUGUACUGACGCUCAUGCACGAAAGCGUGGGGAGCAAACGGG
rnacentral:rRNA from 1 species